rnacentral:rRNA from 1 species
GCGGCAGGCCUAACACAUGCAAGUCGAACGGAUCCUUCGGGAUUAGUGGCAGACGGGUGAGUAACGCGUGGGAAGCUACCUUGUGGUAGGGAACAACAGUUGGAAACGACUGCUAAUACCCUAUGAGCCCUAUGGGGGAAAGAUUUAUCGCCAUGAGAUGUGCCCGCGUUAGAUUAGCUAGUUGGUAAGGUAAUGGCUUACCAAGGCGACGAUCUAUAGCUGGUCUGAGAGGAUGAUCAGCCACACUGGGACUGAGACACGGCCCAGACUCCUACGGGAGGCAGCAGUGGGGAAUAUUGGACAAUGGGGGCAACCCUGAUCCAGCCAUGCCGCGUGUGUGAUGACGGCCUUAGGGUUGUAAAGCACUUUCAGCAGUGAAGAUAAUGACAUUAACUGCAGAAGAAGCCCCGGCUAACUUCGUGCCAGCAGCCGCGGUAAUACGAAGGGGGCUAGCGUUGUUCGGAAUCACUGGGCGUAAAGCGUACGUAGGCGGGCUGAUAAGUUAGGGGUGAAAUCCCGGGGCUCAACCCCGGAACUGCCUUUGAUACUGUCAGUCUUGAGAUCGAGAGAGGUGAGUGGAACUCCGAGUGUAGAGGUGAAAUUCGUAGAUAUUCGGAAGAACACCAGUGGCGAAGGCGGCUCACUGGCUCGAUACUGACGCUGAGGUACGAAAGCGU